AGUGUGACUGUUGGGUCAUAUGGUAAGAAUAUAUUUAGCUUUGUAAGAAACUGCCAAACUGUCUUCCAAAGUGAUUGUACCAUUUUGCAUUCCCAUCAGCAAU
rnacentral:pre_miRNA from 1 species